rnacentral:siRNA from 1 species
UUUGUGGUGUGUAAACUUUAA